GAGUCUUCCACAAAUCAAACUGAGUGAUGACAGAAGAGAAAUAGUGAAUGUGAUGGUUGAUAAAUGUGGUCAUCAGUCUGUGGAGGUGAUCAGGGAGGUUUUAACAGACAUGCAGAGAACUGAUCUGGUGCAGAGGCUGUCAGAGAGCAGCUCAGGACUCAAAGCUGCAGGAUCAUCAGCUGAAGGAUUUGAUGUGGAGGAAACAGAGAAAGAGAAACACUCUGAGGAUGAACGUUGGCCUGCACUGAUCCACAAAGUAGAAACGAUGGAGUCUGUUAUUGAGCUGCUGCUGGAAACUCUGG